UUCUACAUAAACAAAAGCUCAUUAAAGACCUAAAAAUUUUGAAGUGUAAAGGAGUCCUGAGACCAAAGAGCCUGGAACACUGAACCACAUUUAGAUCGCUAAAGUCAUUUGUUCAACAAAAAUUGCGCCUCCUGUGGCCCAGGCAAGAUUAAGAUACCAAAGGAAAGGUGGUCCAGUGGUCUCAGUCUCUUCUCUGAUAAUUUACAUUUGGGAGGAAGGGACAAACGAAUAAAUUAACAAGGUGGUUUCCUGGGAGCUGCAACUUUGAUACAGGCCUGGAGCAGGCCAACGUCCCUGCACUCUGCGCGCUUGCUCAGACUAAACACCCAAGAAUGGGGCAGCCAGACUUCGGCCCAAGUCGCCGGAAGUCCCCAGCAGCUGGCUGUCCCAGAGGGGAGGGCGGAGCCUCAGUUCCCGCCCCGGCGCCGGCGCCAGUGACGUCACUGCGCCUCACCAGCCAAUCGCGAGCUGUCGGUUCGAGCUCCGCCGUGGUCUGCGGCCUGCGGGCGGCGCUGUGGCCCGUUGGGCGGCCCCGGGGAGUCGCCGUAGCCGCUCGCCUUUCCCGACCCAACGUCUUCGCCGCCAGCUCCGCGCCGCCGUCAUGGCCGACGUAGAAGACGGCGAAGAGCCCUGCGCCUUGUCCUCUCACUCGGGGAGCGCAGGCUCCAAGUCGGGAGGAGACAAAAUGUUCUCGCUGAAGAAGUGGAACGCGGUGGCCAUGUGGAGCUGGGACGUGGAGUGCGAUACGUGCGCCAUCUGCAGGGUCCAGGUGAUGGGUAAGCGCUGCACCCUGGCCUGGCGGCUGCGCGGCCUCCUCCGGCGGUGGGGGACAGCGAAGUGGCUGGGGUCGCAUUGCGGCGCGCAUCCCGCCCGGGUCUGAGGCAGAGCCCUGGGAGGCUGGUGUUCUAAAGAGAGAAACGCGCCCUGAGCGGAGGCGCUGAACGAGAUGCCUGUCUUAGAUGUCAAGCUGAAAACAAACAAGAGGAUUGUGUUGUGGUUUGGGGAGAAUGCAAUCAUUCCUUCCACAACUGCUGCAUGUCUCUGUGGGUGAAACAGAACAAUCGCUGCCCUCUCUGUCAGCAGGACUGGGUGGUCCAAAGAAUCGGCAAAUGAGAGUAGUGGAGGCUUUCUUAGUGCAGUUGUUCACGACCCUGGUAGAUCUUGCUGUCAAAUGCCCAACAAAGGCUCAAACACUCAAGGGGACUACUUUUUCACAUACAAGGCAAUGGAUCUGUUGUCUUCUGGGACUCAUCAGAGGCGUGGUAUAGCAUUUUGUCAACUUAAUUUUCAGGAUUCUCUACAAUUAAGAAGAUAAUUUAUUAAAGAUGAUCUUUUCCUACCUCUAUGGUGUGUGUCACAUACACUGCUUAAAAGUGCUGUAAAAAAGGAGAAAAGUCCAAAUCAAAUGACCUUUAUAAUUUACCUAUCACUAUACAAGGGGCUGUAGAAUAAGUUCUGUUCAUAGGAGAACUUUUUGCAUGCUUACAGUUGAUCAGAUAAAAAGAGUGUUAUAGUAACAAAUAAAGUGCAAUUUCAAACCCAACUCUUAAUCCUCAGUUUGUUCCUAAUAUUUAUUUUUGGUGGGAAGAGCAGAGAUUCCUUGACAUUUUUAUUUGAUAUAUUGAGAAUUUUAAUUUUGGACCAGUGAACAGGUGUAAAUAGAAUUUAACUUUCAGGCAUAUAGGAUUUUGAUUGUUUUUUAAAUUAUUCUCUAUCUUUGUCUCAUCAAGAAAAUGUAGAUCUGUAUUCAUCUCACUGUUAAAUCGUUGAGUAUUAAAGGAUAGGUAUUUUCUAGUUCUGGAAAAAUUAUGUUGUAGUGUAUAUUUUUGGUAAAAUAUUAAUGAAGGAAAUGUUCAUGUGUAAUAUUGGAUCAAAAAGUUUUAUCAUGCAGUGCUAUAAUAAAUGAUUUACUCUGUUUCA